CUCUGGAGUGAUUGGAGGGGCAACAAAAACAAAUCAAAAUAAAGUAGGGUGAAACCAAAAGAAACAGAGGCUCCUCUGAGAGAGAGAGAGAGAGAGAGAGAGAAACUGAGAGACUCUCAGAGCUUUGAGUGUGGAGAUAACAAAGAAAGCGCCGAUUUUUUAUUUCUUGGCCUUUCAGAGACAAAAACCAACAUACACUCGUGUUCAGUUUUUCUUCUUCUCGUUAUUCUGGAGAAAAUUUGAGGGCAAAUUUCUUCACUCUUUUCUGUCUCUGCUGCUGGCCUACUGCUCUACUACUAUCACUAUGGUUGCCUGAGAUAAAUUGCAUUCAUUUCAACAGUUACCUCCUUAGAUCUUGAGAAAUGGAAAAAGAAGGGAA